rnacentral:rRNA from 1 species
GUGGGGAAUCUUGCGCAAUGGGCGAAAGCCUGACGCAGCCAUGCCGCGUGAAUGAUGAAGGUCUUAGGAUUGUAAAAUUCUUUCACCGGGGACGAUAAUGACGGUACCCGGAGAAGAAGCCCCGGCUAACUUCGUGCCAGCAGCCGCGGUAAUACGAAGGGGGCUAGCGUUGCUCGGAAUUACUGGGCGUAAAGGGCGCGUAGGCGGACAGUUUAGUCAGAGAUGAAAGCCCAGGGCUCAACCUUGGAAUUGCCUUUGAUACUGGCUGUCUUGAGUACGGGAGAGGUGAGUGGAACUCCGAGUGUAGAGGUGAAAUUCGUAGAUAUUCGGAAGAACACCAGUGGCGAAGGCGACUCACUGGCCCGUUACUGACGCUGAGGCGCGAAAGCGUGGGGAGCAAACAGGAUUAGAAACCCGGGUAGUCC